GGAAAAGAGUAAUCAAGGGUGUAUGGGGGAUGCCUCGACAUAAAAAGCCUAUGAAGGACGUAGUAGCCUGCGAAAAGCCUCGGUGAGGUGGCAAACAACCUAUGAACCGGGGAUGUCCGAAUGGGGAAACCCAUCCCGAUGGAAGAUCGGGAUACCUAUACAUGAAUACAUAGUGUAUAGGAGGGAACCCGCUGAAGUGAAACAUCUCAGUAAGCGGAGGAAAAGAAAACGAAGAACAUAACACAGAUUAUUUAUGUCACCGAUAACACAUUUGUGGAAUCUGUGAUGUAUCAAUCUGUGUUAUAUAUUCCCUAAGUAGCGGCGAGCGAAAGGGGAACAGCCCAAACUUUUUAAACUGAAAUAAUUGUGAUUUUUUGCCUUCGGGCUUGAAUGAUCAGUUGUGGACGGCUACAGGGCCACAUGUUUAUAAAGGGUUGUAGGAUGAUAUUUAGAUUUGCCUGUAACGAAUCAAUAAAGCUUGUGAUUUUUAGUAAAACUCUGCUGGAAAGCAGGGCCAAAGAGGGUGAUAGCCCCGUAUGCGAAAAUUAUCAUAACUUUAUAAUUUUAUUCCUAAGUACUGCGAGACCCGAGAAAUCUCGUAGGAAUCUGGCCGGACUAUCGGCCAAGGCUAAAUACUUUUUAUGAUCGAUAGUGAACUAGUACCAUGAGGGAAAGGUGAAAAGCAGCCCGGGAGGGCGAUGAAAUAAAACCUGAAACCAUAUACCUACAAGAAGCAGAAGCCUCGAUUUAUCGGGGUGACUGUGUUCCUAUUGAAGAAUGAGCCAACGAGUUUGUUUGUGUUGCGAGCUUAAGUCCAUUAAGGACGAAGGCGUAGUGAAAGCGAGCGUUAACGCGCGAUUUGAAAAUCUUUUUAGAUUUUCAUGUAGUAGCACGUACAAGACCCGAAACCGAGUGAGCCAUCCAUGGCCAGGGUGAACCUUGGGUAAGACCAAGGGGAGGCCCGAACCCACGCACCGUGCAACAUGCGGGGAUGAGCUGUGGAUAGCGGAGAAAUUCCUAUCGAACUCGGUAAUAGCUGGUUCUCCUCGAAAUAGCUUGAGGGCUAGCGUCGGCAUAACCAAUGCGGGGGUAGAGCACUGGAUGGGAACGGGGGAGCAAUCCUACCUAUCCUAACCAAACUCCGAAUACCGCAGGGAUCUGCUGUCAGAUACUUUUCGUUGCGAAAUUUUCAGAUUUUGUGGCAGAAUUUUUAAUAAAUUUUUGAAGCAUAUCCGCAGGAUACGUUGAAAAAAUUUUUAGAAAUUAUGGCCAAAAUCUGGGAAUUGCAGCAGAAAGGGUAUCUGACAGCAGAUCCCAUGGAUACCGGCAGUCAGACCAUGGGGGCUAAGCUCCAUCGGUCAAAAGGGAAACAGCCCAGACCGCCAUCUAAGGUCCCUAAAUCUAGAUUAAGUGUAUAAGGUGGUGAAACGACUUUUACAACCAGGAGGUUGGCUUAGAAGCAGCCAUCCUUUAAAGAAAGCGUAAUAGCUCACUGGUCAAGUUGUCUUGCGCCGAAAAUGUAUCGGGGCUAAAUCUAGUACCGAAGGUGCGGGCUCUUACUUUAGUAAGAGCGGUAGAGGAGCGUUCUGUACGCGCUGAAGUCGAGUUGUGAAGCUCGGUGGAGCGUACAGAAGUGAGAAUGUUGGCAUGAGUAGCAAAAAUGAAGGUGAGAACCCUUCACACCGUAAGUCCAAGGUUUCCUGGGCAACGAAAAUCGACCCAGGGUUAGUCGGUCCUAAGGCGAGCCCCGCUUGACGGGGGUAGUCGAUGGAUAAGCAGGUUAAUAUUCCUGCACUUCCGUAGAAUUUAAUCUAACGGACGCAUCACAAUAGUCUCUGCGUGAUUUUGGCUAUUCGCGUGGCUGGCCCGAUUUAUCGGGCUGGACGCAGCCUGAACCGCAAGGGGAGGGCAAUAGAGGUGAAUGUGGUGCCAAGAAAAGGUUAGUGUAUAUUUUAUGGAAUCCGUACCGCAAACCGACACAGGUGGACGGGCAUAAGCGUGCCAAGGUGUACGAGAGAAACAUUGUUAAGGAACUCGGCAAAACAGCGGCCGUAACUUCGGGAUAAGGCCUGCCUCCGAUUUAUCGGAGGCCGCAGCAAACGAUUCCAAGCGACUGUUUACCAAAAACACAGGUCCCUGCUAAACCGUAAGGUGAUGUAUAGGGGCUGAUGCCUGGCCAGUGUCAGAACGUUAAGGAGAUGGGUGAAACGUGCGUCGCUAUCGCAACGCACUAAAAUCAAAUAUAAAAUAUAAAAUAUCAAAAACAAUGUGUCGCUUCGCGACAUAAUAAUUAGUGAAAAAUUUUGUAAAAAUUUUUCACACCAAUUUUUUUAUUUUUAAUUUUUGGUUUUAGCGACGCGAUAGCGGCGCGCAUGUAGCCUUGAACCGAAGCGCUGAUGAACGCCGGCGGUAACUAUAACCGUCCUAAGGUUUUGCAUCUAUAUUAUAUGGAUGCAAAAGGACUGGGACGGUUUAAAAAUAAAAAUGCUGCCUCGCUUUGUAGUAAUAUAAAGCAGGUCCUAAAAAAAUAAUACAUGGCUAUAUGCUGGAAACCCAUAAUCUGGGCAAUCAGCAGGGAAGUCAUAGUGACCCCUCAGAGACCAUACGCCGUGCUCCCGAUAUAAUCGGGAUGAAGAGAUGGUCCAAAAGCACAAAGGAAGCUUAGAGCGAAAUUCCUUGUCGGGUAGACAUCUACGCGGGUCCGCCGUAAGGCGCGAUGUAGAAUUUGCCCGAAUGCAGUGGUGACACUACAGAAGUAAACCGACUCAUAACGGUGAAUGCCAGUUUACGAUAUAAUUGGUUAAUACCGUGGGAAGUCCUCCGAUGGAUAUCGGAGCGACCCCGUAACGACUGAGCUGAAAAGCGAUAUUCAAGGUACAAACUUGAAUAACACGUCGGCUCUUGCUAAAAAUAGUCAAUCUAUGGAGAUAAAAUCUUAUAUUGUCGGUUUUGUAGAUGGAGAAGGGUGCUUCUCGGUUUCUUUCAAUUUAAGAAAGAAACUAAAAAAUGGAAUAGAAGUUAGACCAAGUUUUUCCGUAAGCCAAAACGAAAGAAAUAAGGACAUAAUCUUUCGACUAAAAGAAAUUUUUGGCUGCGGAAGCGUAAGAUUUUCCGCAAAGGAUAAUAAUUACAGAUACGAAGUUAGAUCAAUUAAGGAUUUAACUCAAAGUAUUAUUCCGUUUUUUGAGAAAUAUCCAUUACAAACAAGUAAACAGAAUGAUUUCAUUUUGUUUAAAAAUAUCUGCAAGACGAUUAAGAAUGGCGAGCAUUUAUCGCAAAAGGGCUUGAUAAAUAUAAUUAAUCAAGCGUAUCAGAUGAAUGUUGCCGGUAAAAGAAAAUUUACCAAAGAUUAUCUCCUACGGAUGACAGCAAGAUGAAGGUAUAGUCUAAUCAUUAAGGUAACUUAAUGCGGAUUGAAGUUCCGACCCGCACGAAUGGCAUAACGACUUGGAAACUGUCUUGACAAUGUACUCGGCGAAAUUUUAACACGAGUGAAGAUACUCUUUACCCGCGGCUGGACGAAAAGACCCCGUGAAGCUUUACUACAACUUGAUAUUGGAGUAGGGUUCCGCAUGUUCAGAAUAGGUGGGAGGUCCGACGCAAGUCGGACCGACAGUGAGAUACCACCCUUGCGUUGCUUUAUUUCUAACCUAAGGCCUUGAAUCAGGUCUCGGGGACAGUUUCUGGUGGGUAGUUUAUCUGGGGCGGAUGCCUCCCAAAAAGUAACGGAGGCGUUUACAAAGGUUGGCUUGGCCCGAAUGGAAAUCGGGUUUUAAAGUGCAAACGCAUAAGCCAGCUUUACUGGAACUCCUACAAGAGGACCAGUUACGAAAGUAGAAGUUAGUGAUCCGACCGUUCGUUAUAGGACGGCGGAAGCUCAUCGGACAAAAGCUACUCCGGGGAUAACAGGCUGAUUCCUCCCGAGCGUCCACAGCGACGGAGGAGUUUGGCACCUCGAUGUCGGCUCGUCUCAUCCUGGGGGUGAAGAAGCUCCCAAGGGUUUGGCUGUUCGCCAAUUAAAGAGGCACGCGAGCUGGGUAAGUGAAAAUGAGCCCCUCCUAAGAGUGAUUUUAGGAGAGAAAACCGGCUAAUAACGGUGAAGCCCUUAUUACGAUUAUAUGAUAUAAUAUAGGAGUAUGGGGGUAAUAUCGUGGGAAAAUAAUCUUAAAUUAACUGCUGACCAAUAUGAAUUAGUGGUCGGUAGUUUAUUGGGUGAUGCGCGUUUAGAGUGUCGUUCCUUACAAGGAACGGCUAGAUUGCGCAUUCAUCAUGCAGAUUCACAGAAGGAUUAUGUAUUGUGGAAAUAUGAGCAAUUAAAAAAUCUUGUUAAAACAGAACCAAAAGCAAUUAGAUCGUGGAAUAAUAAGUAUGAAAAAUGGUAUCAUUCAUAUUAUUUUCAUACUAUUACUACAUUUGCAUUUCGUGAAUUGCACAGAAUGUUUUACCAAGAUAAUCAAAAAGGCAUUCCUAAAAAUGUUGAUAGAUUGCUUACUCCAAGAGCAUUAGCGGCUUGGAUUAUGGAUGAUGGUUGUUAUUAUAAGGGUUGCAUGAUUUGCAACACUCAAUCAUUUUCUAUAAUUGAUCAGAAGCGAUUGAUUGGAGUAUUAAAAAGUAAAUAUAACUUGAGCGCAAGCUUACAGAAAGACCGUGAGAAUUAUCGAAUUUUUAUUAAACACUCUAGUACAGAGCGUUUAAUAGAUUUAAUUGCGUUUUAUAUUAUUCCGUCAAUGCAAUAUAAGAUUAUGACCCGUAACGACUGCGUCCCAUAUUGUGGGACAAGAUGGAAGGUACCUGAUAAUCAGGAAUCUAAGCUUCCAUCAUACGCCGGCUCCUCAAAAUUGAGGAUGAAGAUAUAGUCUGUGCCAUUAGUAAUAAUGGAGUUAACACGUCAGAACGUCGUAAAUAAUUGCGACCCGCUAUUGUAAAGUAGCAGAAAAAUUUGGCUAAUAUCGGUGAAACCCCUAAUAAUCAUGACCGAACACUAUUAAGGGCAAUACCGAGGGAAGUUGUCUCGCAUUGCGCGGGAUUAACCCCGUAACGACUGCGCCCGCAAGGGCAAUAUAAAAGGCAACCGGUAAUCGGAAAAAUAAACUUUUAUAAUACGCCAACUCCCCCGAUGUCCAUCGGGGGAUGAAGAUAUAGUCUGUGCCAUUAGUAAUAAUGGAAUAGCAUGGAGACAGUUCGGUCUCCUAUCCGCCGUGGGCGUCGAGAUUUGAGAGGGCCCUUUGAUAGUACGAGAGGACCUCAAAGGACAAACCUCUAGUGUGGGAGUUGUUCUGCCAAGGGCACAGCUCCGUAGCUAGGUUUGGUUAGGAUAAACGCUGAAAGCAUCUAAGCGUGAAGCCGUCCUCAAGAUUAGAUCUCAUUAGGCACUUCGGUGCCUUGUAGGUUCCAGAGAGACGAUCUGGUUGAUAGGCAGCAGGUGGAAGCAUAGUAAUAUGUGUAGCCGAGCUGUACUAAUAAACCAAUGCUCUUUUCCCU
rnacentral:rRNA from 1 species